UACGUAGGGUGCAAGCGUUAAUCGGAAUUACUGGGCGUAAAGCGUGCGCAGGCGGUUCGCUAAGUCCGAUGUGAAAUCCCCGGGCUUAACCUGGGAACUGCAUUUGUGACUGGCGGGCUAGAGUAUGGCAGAGGGGGGUAGAAUUCCACGUGUAGCAGUGAAAUGCGUAGAGAUGUGGAGGAAUACCGAUGGCGAAGGCAGCCCCCUGGGCCAAUACUGACGCUCAUGCACGAAAGCGUGGGGAGCAAACAGG
rnacentral:rRNA from 1 species